UCAUCUUUAUUUAGCCUUUUAGUAUAACUUGUGGCCUGCAACUAUCUAUCGUGAGUAUUUUAUUUUACACCUGAUUUGCAGAACUGCACAUUGAAAGUGCUUAGACAAUUCUGACAGGAAAUUAAACACACAAAAUGUUCCAAGGAGGAAAGGGAGGAACAAAUGGGAACAAUGGCGAGCCAGGACGUGGCAUUGUUAGUGCGGAAAAUAAAAAUCUUUUCGUUUUCGUCGCUGCCUGCGCCGGUCUGACCGCGCUGUACUUUUCGGGUUGUUUCAGGGGUGGACAGGGAGGAGACGGUGGGGGAGCUGGGGGGCAGCGUGGGGAAGA